rnacentral:lncRNA from 1 species
UUUUUUUUUUUUUUUUUUUUGUAUGAAAAGGAGGUGAAACCUCCAUUAUUUGUUAGCACUUAAAUUAAGUAAUUUCAAAAGAGUUACAUGGUUGUAACCUUUCAGUACAUUUUUACUGUAUAUGCUUAGCCUCUUUUCCUAAUUUGGAUUGAGGAAAUAUAGUCGUUUUCUCGUGAACUAUUAAUGAUUGUCUUUGAGCAGGAAAGAAGCCUUCAUUAACCUAUCUCCCAAUAGCAGUUUCAAUCAGGCUUUUGAACCUCAGAUACCCAGCCUACUUCUCUGAAGCAAUCUUGGUUAUAUCACCUUGAAAACUCUAAAGACAGGAAAAGAAGAACCUGAUUCUGAAACUCUGAAAAGUUUGGCAGAUCUGAAAACAGCUUUCUUGUUAAAUAUUCAAAGCAGAGAAUCCAAUUUUGUGAACUCGUUAACUCUAAAAAUUGAUUUGUCGUAACCUCUGUAAUUCUAAAAACCUGUCUCUAUCAGUGUCCAUUUGCUCCGAAAAUUCAUCCUUUCUUAUCUCCUUUUCUUCCUCCCCACUAUUCUCUGAAUAUAGGAUCUCUGAUGUUUCCUUCUGAGAUUGCCGCCAAGUUUUCCCAAAGAAGAGUCCUCUGAUGAAUGCCAACAUCUUCUUUUAUUUGUGUACCACUAAAUGCAUUAUCUAUCGCAGGAAAAUUUUUGUUUCGUCUGUUUGCACCACGAUCAGCCUCCGACAUGUGUCGUAUCGGAGCUAACUUCUUCAUCUGUUCUGUUGUCACUUGAGACAUCCGGGAGAUAAAAAGUGCUGCAAUUUGCUGAGCAAUUGGUUUAGGACAGUAAGCAAGGAAUUUAAAUACUUAUUUGUUGCGCUCUUUCCAAAGACACCACCGAUCAAUUAUGAGAAGUUCAUCUAUUCCAUGUCUUUGAUCUUGAUUGACAUUAUUGAUUCUCCAUGUAUUCCAUAAAAUGUCCAGUGUGGAUGGGAGUUCAGGCAGUUGCAAGUUUAGGAGUAGCUGAGUCCAAAUUGUUCUUGAGAAAGGGCAUUCAAGCAUAAGAUGAUCAUUAGUCUGAUAGGUUAUCUUAAAGUGGUCUUCAGGUAAUGGAAACGAUCAAAUUAUCUGAUAACAACUCUUUCGCAUGCAGAAAUUCCACCGGGACUUGCCGCCGACGACCGUUUUUGCUUUCGGCACCUGCCCGGACACCGCCACCUUCCCCGGCCCCACCAUCGAGGCCCUCCAGGGGGUCCCACUGCAUGUGACGUGGCAGAACCACCUUCCUCAUAGCCACAUCCUCCCAUGGGACCCCACAAUCCCGGUAGCCAAACCGAAGCACGGCGGCGUCCCCGCCGUCGUCCACCUCCACGGCGGCGUCGACGAGCCCCAGUCCGACGGCAGCGCCCUCGCCUGGUUCACCGCCGGCUAUCGCGAUACCGGCCCAAAAUGGACCCAGCCCACCUAUACCUAUCCCAACGUCCAGCACCCGGGCAACCUCUGGUACCACGACCACACCCUCGGCCUCACCCGCGCCAACAUCCUCGCCGGCCUCAUAGGCGCCUACGUCGUCCGGAACCCCCACGUCGAGGUCCCCUUCGGCCUCCCCAGCGGCGACGCCUUCGACCGCCACCUCAUCCUCGCCGACCGGAGCUUCGCCGCCGACGGCUCCCUCUAUAUGAACAACACCGGUGACAACCCCUCCAUCCACCCCCAGUGGCAGCCCGAGUACUUCGGCGAGGCCAUCACCGUCAACGGCAAGGCCUGGCCGUUCCUUGCCGUCCAGCGCCGCAAGUACCGCUUUCGUAUCAUCAACGCCAGCAAUGCGCGUUACUUCAAGCUUGCACUGUCCAACGGGCUAAUGUUUUACAUCGUCGGCUCUGACUCGUCCUACCUGCCGAAGCCCGUUGCCAGUCCGACGAUCGUCGUUUCGCCGGCCGAGACCUUCGAUGUGGUGAUCGAUUUCUCGAAAUCAACCACCUCAACUGUGGAGCUAACCAACAGUGCAUCAUACCCGUACCCCAAUGGUACUGCUGCCGGCCAACUAAACGGCAAGGUAAUGAGGUUCGUCAUAUCGGCUGAUCCCCCGACCGACGAUUCGAGGAUCCCGUCAAGCCUAGUGAAUUAUCCGGCGGCCAACGAGUGGGAGGCGACGGUGAGGAGAUACAUUACAAUGUAUGAAUACCAGAGCUCGACCGGGAAGCCGACGCACCUUUAUAUCAACGGGAAGAGAUUCGAGGACCCGGUGACGGAGACGCCGAGGCCGGGGAGCACGGAGGUGUGGGAGGUGAUCAACCUAACGGGGGAUAACCAUCCAUUGCAUCUCCACCUAGCGACGUCCCAGGCCGUGAGGGUGACGGAGCUGGUGGAUUUGACGACGUUCGGCAAUUGUAUGACGGCAAACAAUGACGCCGUUAAGUGUAACGUCACGGGCCAUGCGGUGGGGAAGAAGCUGCCAGUGCCGGAAUACGAGAAGACGUGGAAGAAUGUGGUGAAGAUUGAACCUGGCUACGUGACGACGGUGGUGGUGAAGUUUAGGCUUAUUGAUACGAAUGCGUCGUAUCCAUUUGACGCAACGGCGGAGCCCGGUUACGUCUACCAUUGCCAUGUAAGCUCUCAUUUAUAUCACCCCUUUUUAUUACCGGGCUCUUUAUUUUAAUCGACCUAAUUAAUAGGAUAAUCCCAAUAGUUUUAACUAAAUGAGAGAAACAAGUCCUAAAUUCGGUUAUGUUCUAUAUCCUGUCGCUGGCUUACAUGUAUAAAUAUUGGCAGGGUUUUCCAAAAUGGAACUUUACAAACUUAAAGAACUCCUAAAAUCAAAUUAAAUAAUAUAUGUUUUGCACAUUAUUUGAAUUAAAUAAUAUUUUCUAAUUAAUAUUUUUUGUCCUAUUUGUUGACCUACUCCAAUUAUCUUUUUGAGGAGACCUACCCUACAUCUUACUUUAAACUCAAACUUGUGUUAAUUCGGCUAAGUGUUAGCUAUUGCAAUCACUGUGUUAAUUAAUUGGAUGAAAAUAUCUUUGAUUAAAAUAUUUAUCAUAAAAAAAUAUUUCAAAUAUAGAAGAUAAAAAAACUAAAUAUAAUAAAAAAUAAUAUACUAAAUUAUUAAUAGAUUUUUAAUUUUUAAUACUAUUUUUUAGAUCUUAUUGAUCAGUGUUCAACAUUACUCUUCAAUUGCACAAUAAAUAAAAAAGUCAUAAAUCAUGUAUCUAAAAAAUUAUGUAUGUAUGUGUGUGUGUGCAUGUGUGUGCGUGCGUGUGUAUCAAAAAAAAUAUUAAAAAUUUAUUGAUAUUUUUAAUUGUGUUACGUACUAAGGAUUUAGAAUAUUAAAUGAAUAAUAUCAAAUAUUUUUAAUUUCAUUCUAUCACUAAUGUUGUUUUCUUUCAAUGAAAAUAACUGAUUAUUGAAAUAUUAUAAUUUUCUUAAAAUAACUGAAUUUAUAAUGCAACAUAUCUAUUUUAUUAAAUAUAUUUGUGCUCUUCAAAUUUUAUUUUAAUUGUUAAAUUUUUUUGAGCUAUACAUGUGGUCAUAAGUUCAAAUCCGUGGUCCCGUGCCUUGAUGACUAAUAAGGAGAGUGAAGGACGGAGAGGAUGGAGAUGGAAAUGAGUGGCAAGUCGAAGAAGAUAAAGAGACAGUGGAAAAAUGGGAGUAGUUUUCAUUGAAAAGACAUGGUCCUUAUCAGAAAGAAAAAGCAUGGGUCCCGUUUUCAUAAAGGUGAGAAAAUAUUAUGGAGCAAGUCCACCGUGGACCAGUCCAACCAAACAGUAACACCGAUCCUUUUUCCCCCUGUCCUCACUUUAUGUGCAAUGGGUAGUGGUCCCCACUAAUAUUUUCUCAGAGGAUAGCGUGGAGAAUACAUUGAUGGCUCAACUCUUCUCAAAAUUGCCAUUUUAAAUGAAUCCUUUUUCCCUAAUUGCAAAAAUAUCAUGAUUCCUGAUGAAGUAAGGCAAGACAGGCAUGAAUAGAGAUAAUAUGCAGUAUAUGAUCUUGUGAGUAUAAUAUGUGAAUGCAUGCAUUUAUAAGUAGCACGUGGAUCUUCUGCAGUGCGCCGCACUGUUUGCACAGUCCAUCGCACGAUGGAUGAUAUGCACGAUCAUAUAUGUAUGUGCACGAUCAUAUAUAGUCAUUUAUCGUAUGAUAGAUGAUAUAUGUGAUGCAUCAUAUCGUAUGGUAUAUUUUGAUAUUUUAAAAAAUCUGCGUCCUCAUAAGUGUACGUCAAGAAUGCUAACAAAAGAUAAAAUAACAAACCCAUCCAUGUGGAAAUUUUGUUCACCUGCACUUAAUGAAGAGGUUGCGAGAUCUAUUUUCUCGUCACUUAGUGGAUUGAUCGUUUGUCAUUUAAUGUGCGCAGAUUCUAGACCACGAAGACAAUGCAAUGAUUCGGCCCAUGAUGCUCGUUUCUUGACGCCACGCCAAAUCGGAAAAAGACGAGCAUUUCUUAGAGAUUUUUCGAUAUUUCAUAAUCUUAAGCAUGAAGCUUGGUCCACAAAUCUUUGGAGAUUCCCCCACUGGUGCAGAAAGUCUGGGAUGGAUUAAAUAUUUUGAUAAACUAUUUUCAUGCAUGUAAAAGUUUAUUUUAUCAAAAAAAUGUAAGUAGAAGUUUAUGGGAUUGUGAUAUAUAGAUGCUCCGCAAAUGGCUUAAGCACUUAGUUUGUAUCAUGGAGGGACGGUAUUUUUAGUUUCAUAUUAAUUAUAAAUUAAAAAAAUAUAAUUUAUGUGAAAUGAGAUGUUUUUUCUUACGUAAGGUAUUUUUUAAAAGUCAAAACCCUGAAGCUCCAAAUUAAUUAUCAAGGCUACCUAAUGUAUGCAUGUCUUAUCUUCCGGAUGAAAAUCUCCAGCAUCUCCUGUCAUGCCUACAUUCAUGCCAUUAAUGUCUUCAAAUAUUUUGUCUUAUCUUCCGAAUGGGAAUCUCCAGCAUCUCCUUUGGAAGGCCAUGCCUACAUGCUACAACUAUAUAUACCGAGCCUUGGCUAACAACCACUAGACUUGGUUCCAUUGCCUCAAGUGACUGGUGGACAACAUCUUGAUUAGACUUGCGCGCCCUCCCAUUAUCGAAUGGCAUGUAGUCAAGGAUAGAUGCCAUGCAUUAAAUGAGAUUUAGAUGUAUGUCAUGGUUUACAAGCUUUAGAAACAUAAAAUGAGAUUUUCUUUUUUUUGAAGCAGAGCGAGUGAAGCAAGUGAAAUAUAACAUAAUAAGCAAAGCAAGAAAAAAAAAGGAUUCCUCCAUCCUUCGACGGCCAUGCUUGCUUUGUUUAGGUUAUACAAUAAGUUAGUUAGGAUGCAGAGUCUCCGCCCUGUAGAUCGGACAAAUCUGAUUAUCGUACAUAAGACAUGAUUUCGAAUCCAGAUCAAUUUACUUUAUUAUACAUAUCUCUUAUAAUCCUAAAAGAAGAGAGAGUGAUUAAAUAUCCUGAUGAUUAUGUAUAUUAAUGGAGCUGAGAUUUCUGUAAAAAUCUUAUAUUCUGAAAUCUCUAAUAUUCUAUAUUAAAUUUUUAUAUUAUUUUUAUCUAUGGACGUAAGUCAAUAGGUCGAAUCAUAUAAAUAUUAUUGCUCUUAUUUUUUUUCUCUUUUUUUUUAUUUUAUUAUUUUUUCUACCUGUUAUAAAAGGAUGUUUAGUGCAAGUUGUCUCUAAAUGGUGCCCAAGAUCAUGCCUCGAGUGCCAUCAUAGGAAAACUUGUAUUGCUUAACCAUUUAUUGCGCUCAGGGCAUAACUAAUUAUUUGUGAGGAUGAGAAGAUAUUCUUAAAACAUUGUUGGCAUGCAAAUUGGAUUCAAGUCAACAUCAUUACUUACAGAGAUUUGAAGUUCCAUAAAAUAUCAUGGAAUGAAAUUCUAAAUAUAGCCUAUGACAACAUAGUGGGUGUUUCUUGUAGAAACUUCAAGCAAAUAGAAAAUCUGUGACAGAUUACAGGGGUGGAAGUGGUGGUGUUUUCUGUGAUUGGAACUUAUCCUCCUUAAGUUUAAGGUCAAAUUUCUCAGGUGGUGUUAGAUCAACCCUUAGACGGUCAAUAGCACAAUAAUGUAUCGUAAUUCAAAUUUUAAAUAGAAGAAAACUAGCAAGACUUAUUGAAUGUAUUUAUGAGCCAUUUGGCUCCAAUGUUGAGACCAUUUAUAUAACGGCAUGAGUCUUUCUCGAUUUUAAUAGCAAAGCAAGCUGAGAGGCCUGAAGUUUCCAAUCAAUACUAGACACCAUAAUAUCCACUCGGGGGCGGCUCAACAUAUUUGAAGGCCUAAAGCUAAAAACUUCCACCGUCCCACGCUAUCUGCCCACGAGCCCAUCACAUUUUCUUCUGCCACGUGUUUUGAUUUUUGACAAAAAAAAAAAACCCCGAUGCCACAGCCCUUUCAUCUUCCACCUGUGACUGGUCACCGGCCGAUCGACCGUCGGCGAGCCGCGACAGGCGACUUCUCACUCUCGAACCGAGCGGGAAGGAGGGACUUGGGGGCUGCGCAGGCUGCAGGGUCCGGCAGGGGCCAGGGAGGGAUCUUCUUCCGGGCUCCGACUUUCGAGAAACGAAAAAAGAAAUUGUUUCCGGCGGACCGGCGGCCCGCCGGCCCAGCGCACCAAGCGGGACGGAGGGGGAGUGCCGAAAAACAAAAAAAAUGAAGAAACUUAUCGGUGGAGCCGACGAGCUGUGGUGGUCCUGGACGGCUGGAUCUCCUCACCUCCUGGCUCCUGGUGGUCUUGUCUUGCCGCAUUGCCGGCCGGGGAGGCCUUGCCAGGCCGGAGAGACCGGGGCUGGUGGAGCCGUGGAGCGGGACUGGAGGCGGAGGCGAGAUCGGGAUGCUGGGAUGCGCCGAUGCGGUCACUGAUGGAGCGUGGAGGUGGGACCAGGACGGCAGGAUGCCGAACGGCCAGAGGUGGAGGCGUGGAGGCGGAGGCUGGACCGCGACUGGACUUGGAGGCGGGAUCGGGACGUCGGAGGCGAGAUCGGGAUGCCGAGAUGCGGUCACUGAUGGAGUGUGGAGGGCCUGGAGGUGGGAUCGGGAUGCCGGAGGUGGAGGCUGGACCGCGAUGCCGGAUGCGAGCGAGCGGGGGCCUAAGGCAAGGGCUUCGGUGGCCUUGCCCUUCAGCCGCCCCUAUCCACCAACCAAUACUUGGUGAAUAUGGCUAAUAGUAACCCGUUUGUCACAGAUAGAUUGGCCAAUUCUAAUUUACAAUAUGGAAGUGUUGGAAUAGGAGAGAAACCCAUCCUACAAAAGUAUAUGACUUAUGAGAAAGAAAAAAAUGAAUAUUGCUUUGGUGAAUCUUUUGAUAUAUUCUAAAGACUGACAUAACAAAGAUGAUGUUUAACCAACCAUAUGUGGGUCCUAUAAAUUAGGCCAAGCAAGUUAUCACUAAUGUUUCAAUUAAUGUUAGGCUAACUUUAAAACUCAGGAUAAAUUUUAAUGAGUAAGAAAAACUUAGAUAUAAAUACGGGUCUUUAAUUGGUGUUUGGUUGGGAUUAUGAGAGAGUGGACAGAUAUUAGUUAAAAGGAUGCAUAAUAUUCAUCAGUCAGGUGAUUCAGAAAAUUAUAGAAAGGAUAGAUGAAAGAUGAGCGACUGCUCGUCCAUUCUAGUCCAUCAAUUUGCAUCCUCUUAAAAUUGAUAGAAUGAAAAAAAAGAUGGAUAUUGAUGGAUGGAUUUCUUUACUAAUAAAAUUAUCUUUUAUUUUAUUUUUUUGAAAAAAUUAUAACCUUUUUUCACUUUUUAUUCAUAUUAUUUAUAUACAUUUAUAUAUAUAGUAGUAAUCAGAUCCUAUUAAAUUUUAUUACUAAUUAUAUUAAUUUUAGUACAUAAUUUUCAUGAAAGUAAUUAAAUAAUUAGAAUUAUCUUCUAUUUUUUUAUUUAUAUUUUUUAUUUUUUAUUAACUAUUUAUAUAAUAUUAAUUAACUAUUUAAAUUAGAUUAUAAAUUAAUAAGUUACUUAUAUAAUUAAUAAAUAAUAAUUCAUCAAUAAUUAAUUUAUAAAAUUAUGUAUUAAAUUAAAUUAAAUAUUUAUAUAAUUUUUUAUAUAAUUAUAGAUUAUAAGAUUAUAAGUUUAUACAUUGUUUAUUUUUUUUAUAUAAAUAAAUAUUAUAAAUUGAUAAUAAUAUUAUUUUUAUUAAAAAAUAAUUUAAUAAAAAUAUUAUAUAAAUAUUAUCCAUCUUUUCUUUCAUUUCUUCUAUACCAAACAGAAGAGAAAAUUAUUUUUAUCCACCCUUCAAAUUUUUACUAAAUAUGAGAAGAUUGAUGAAAGAUCCAUCCAUCUUCUCUCUUAUUUUUCUUUUCUCCUUCGUUUACUUUUUCUUCAAUCCAUCGUUCAUACUAAACAGAAAGUGAAGAUAGGUUUUGUGUUUCUCAAAAUCAAUAAUUUGAUGUAAAAGGUCUCAAUCCAUCUGCUCUUUAAUAUUCUACUAUAGUAACAGCUAAAUAAGAAUAUAUUUUUAAUAAUAAAAAUUUGAUUGAAUUAUUUCUAGUUGCCCCUCACCUCCAGUAUCGAGAUGUAAUAAUACUGUAGCAAAACAAAGAGAACAAAUAGAGGGUUUUUUUUUUGUUCAAAGAAGAUAAGAGAGAUUAUAUAAAAAUUUAAAAAUUAAUAUAUAUAUAUAUAUAGAGAGGUGGCUUCUAUCUCGAAUCUAAUCAAGCGGUCGAAGCGGUUCAUUUUUUUAUAUAUAAUGGUAAAGUUUGCGACAGAUACAAGCAUACAUACAACGGCAAGUUUUCUAUGGAUAAAAAGAAGGAAAGUUGAGGUGUUUUUUUUUGGGUAAAAAGAGUUGAGGUACCUUAAAACACCUAAAACAACAACAGCCAAUACAUUGGUAAACGGCAAAGUUAACAAAGGAAGGUGUUUCAUAUGGCCGGUGUUAGCCUACUUUUUCUCUUUCCAAUAAAAAAUUAAUUAAUUUAUAAAAAAAAGGGGGAAAAAAAAAGGGAGGCAUCUUGAUCUUGGCGGGAUGUACUAACCCGCAGCUAAAGAUAAUAUCCUAAUUAGUAACAGUCUUGCUUUUUUUGAAUUAUGAAUAGGGUCAACAAAAUAUGAUCUGAUCCGUCAAUUCAAUUUAUAUUCGAUCUAUCAUAAAAAUAUUUAAAUUUAGUCUAACUGAAUUUGAAUCUUAAAAAAAUUAAUUAAUUUAUUUUAUUUAAUAUUUCGAUCGGAUUUAAAUUUUAAAUAUCUGAUCCAUUUAAUCCAUUUAACUUGUUUAAUAUUCAGAUUAGAUUGAGUUAGAUAACUCAUUUAUCUGUUUAAAAUUUAUUUAAUCUGUUUCUAAUCUAUCUAACUCAAUUUAUUUAACUUAUUUAAUUUAUUUAAGAUAUGUUUAAUAUAUUUAAAAUCUACUUAAUCUGCUGAUCCAUUUAAUCUGACCUAUUUAAUCUAUUUAAUUUGUUUAACUUAAUUUAAUUUAUUUAAUAAACUGAUUAAAUAGAUCAGAUUAAAUUAUCUAUUUAAUAAAUAAAUUAAAUUUAAAUUUAAAUUUUUAAUUUAUUUAAUAAAUAAAUUAAAUUUAAAUUGAUAAUUUUUUAAUUCAAUACAUAUUGAUCUGAUUCGUAUCCAAUCCAAUUUACCCUAAUUACCAUCUCUAAUUAUGAAUAAAAAAUGCGCGCUGCUUUUUUCUAAACCCACAGCGAGUAACCAGAACGUAGCUCAGACAAAUCCAAAGCUAGAGACCAUACGGAGCCUUGAAUGGAUAACGUACGGAUGGAAUGUAUACACUCCGGGCAACCAAAAUCCGUCCGCGAGAAAUUGUUUGUUAGGCCUAAUCCAUCAGCUUAGCGAUUGACUAAUCCUAUCAAACAGCACCAUAUAUCAUAUUAAAGAAUAAGAAAGGAAAAAAAAAAAAGCUAAGCACCAUCAAAGCGCCGCUCAAAUCUGCCUUCAUGCCUAGUGAAAUCCUUGCACCUAAUCUUCAUCCGCUGCCACACCCUUUCGCUCUCUUGCAUCAUUGUUCUUUGACUUCGGUACCUCUCCAUUCACUAUCUUAAUGUACCAUUGAUCGAUAUUUUUUCGAAUCUUAUUCUCUGCUAGAUAUAUUGAAUGAAUUUAUUGAAAUUGCUGACGGACUUUUAUGUGCUAUCAUUCUCUGGUCUACUUUCUAUUGUCAGCUCAUCUCGAACUCUCUCUGGAUUCUUUGUGCGCCACCACUCACCCCAUCAGGGUCCUGUGAAAAAGUUGCUCGAGUGCCAAUCUGUAGUCCGAGCACGCCGCCCUCUCCUUGCACCAUAAUUUUGAUACAAUAUUGGAGCUGAGCUACAAAAAUAUAUUAUGAUUUUACAUUCACCAAAAUAUAUAGACACGCACGCAUACAAGAGUAUAGGAUUUCAGAAAAUCAGAAUCUUAUAUUUUACUAUAAAAAAUUAACAGAGAUCUCAUGAUUUUAAUAGAUGUGAUACAUAUUACAUAAAUUUCUCGGAUAUAGUAUAUUAGCUGAAAAUCUGCUUGAUAUUCUCUGGUAUUUUAGAUAUUUUCUAAUAUGAUAUAUCGAUUGAAAUUUUUUUAAUAUUUUUUGAUAUUUUUGUAAUAUUUAUCGAUAUUCUCAGAUAAAAAUGGACUGCCCCGCUGACGAGAUAUGGAUUGCCCCAGAUGGGAAGACGAUCUCUUGUAAAAGGGAAAGUAUUCUCAGGGAGCCACUCGCUAGCACUCGACCCCCACACAUCGUUUUACACGCUCUCCGCCCAGAACCCACAAGAGGGAGAUAGGAAGAGGAACAAAACUCCAAAAGAAAACAGCAAUCGACCAUGGAGAUGGCUGAUGUUCGUGGACGAACUCCCCGAGAUGCCCGGGCUUCGAGGAUAUAGAGUCAGGGAUGGCGUUCCGGCCGCUGGUAAUCUCACAAUCGGCAUGUACGAGAAGACAUGGGUUGUUCCCGUAAACCCUGCCCUUGUUAAUUAUUUAUUUUUUUCGGCCCAUGGUUUUUGAGCCGGUGAGUGGUGAGCUAUCGGUCCACCGGCGGAGCUGCGGAUCCAUCCCUAGACCAUCGAGGACUCUGAUCCAAUCAUCUCAUUCCAGCUAGUUCGUCUAAUAUCUGAUAAUUUCUUUUAGGUGCAAAAGUUUUUUUUUCUUUUCCGGUGAAUGAAAGAUCUAGGUGCAAAAGUUACAUAGAGAAAUCGCAAUUAGAAUAGUUAGAGAGGACGAUCCAUUUUCUUUGAUUGCAAACUCCGGUGCUAAUUUUCUCCGAGAUUUGGACCAGCAGUCACGGAAAAAUAUUCAUUGCAACAGUGAUAUUACAUUG